AACGAACGCUGGCGGCAGGCUUAACACAUGCAAGUCGAGCGCCCCGCAAGGGGAGCGGCAGACGGGUGAGUAACGCGUGGGAACGUACCCUUUGCUACGGAAUAGCUCCGGGAAACUGGAAUUAAUACCGUAUGUGCCCUACGGGGGAAAGAUUUAUCGGCAAAGGAUCGGCCCGCGUUGGAUUAGCUAGUUGGUGGGGUAAUGGCCUACCAAGGCGACGAUCCAUAGCUGGUCUGAGAGGAUGAUCAGCCACAUUGGGACUGAGACGCGGCCCAAACUCCUACGGGGGGCAGCAGUGGGGAAGAUUGGACAAUGCGCGCAAGCCUGAUCCAGCCAUGCCGCGUGAGUGAUGAAGGCCUUAGGGUUGUAAAGCUCUUUCACCGGAGAAGAUACUGACGGUAUCCGGAGAAGAAGCCCCGGCUAACUUCGUGCCAGCCGCCGCUGUAACAC
rnacentral:rRNA from 1 species